rnacentral:rRNA from 1 species
CUGCAAGGCCGCGGUAAUUCCAGUCUCCAAUAGCGUAUAUUAAAGUUGUUGCAGUUAAAAAGCUCGUAGUUGGAUUUCUGGGAGAGUGCCAAUGUCCGCCGCGUGCGUGUUGCAGCGGCGCUCUUCCAUCCUUCUGUUAACCUUUCUGGUAUUCACUUACUGGUUUGGGGCUCAGAUAUUUUACCUUGAGAAAAUUAGAGUGUUUCAGGCAGGCUUGCGCCCGAAUACAUUAGCAUGGAAUAAUAGAAUAGGACUUUGGUCUCCUUUGUUGGUUUGAGGGACUAGAGUAAUGAUUAAUAGGGACAGUCGGGGGCAUCAGUAUUCAAUUGUCAGAGGUGAAAUUCUUGGAUUUAUUGAAGACUAACUACUGCGAAAGCAUUUGCCAAGGAUGUUUUCAUUAAUCAAGAACGAAAGUUAGGGGAUCAAAGACGAUCAGAUACCGUCGUAGUCUUAACUAUAAACUAUGCCGAC